rnacentral:rRNA from 1 species
GAUGAACGCUGGCGGCGUGCCUAAUACAUGCAAGUCGAGCGAAGCGGGGACGGGUGAGUAACACGUGGAUAACCUCCUUUCAGACUGGGAUAACCUCGGGAAACCGGAGCCAAACCGGACACUUAUCGAUGGAUCCGCGCUGCAUUAGCUAGUUGGUAAGGUAACGGCUUACCAAGUCAACGAUGCAUAGCAGACCUGAAAGGGUGAUCGGCCAUACUGGAACGGAGACACGGUCCAGAGUCCUACGUGAGGGAGCAGGAGGGAAUAUUCCGCAGUGGGCGAAAGCCUGACGGAGCGACGCCGCGUGAGUGAAGAAGGUCUUCGGAUCGUAAAACUCUGUUAUUAGGGAAGCGGUACCUAAUCAGAAAGCCACGGCUAACUACGUGCCAGCAGCCGCGGUAAUAC